rnacentral:rRNA from 1 species
AGUGAACGCUGGCGGCAGGCCUAACACAUGCAAGUCGAGCGGCAGCGCGGGGCAACCUGGCGGCGAGCGGCGGACGGGUGAGGAAUGCAUCGGAAUCUACCCUGUCGUGGGGAUAACGUAGGGAAACUUACGCUAAUACCGCAUACGACCGAGAGGUGAAAGUGGGGGACCGCAAGGCCUCACGCGAUUGGAUGAGCCGAUGCCGGAUUAGCUAGUUGGUGGGGUGAAGGCCCACCAAGGCGACGAUCCGUAGCUGGUCCUGAGAGGAUGAUCAGCCCACACUGGGACUGAGACACGGCCCAGACUCCUACGGGAGGCAGCAGUGGGGCAAUAUUGGACAAUGGGCGCAAGCCUGAUCCAGCCAUGCCGCGUGUGUGAAGAGGGCCUUCGGGUUGUAAAGCACUUUGUUCGGGAAGAAAUCGUGCGGAUUAAU